rnacentral:tRNA from 1 species
UGUCCAAUGCGGGAAUCGAACCCGGGUCGUAGUGGUCGAAAACCAAAUGGUUUAACCAGCCUUCCACCAACCCGGCUAAUUGUAU